AGUGUCUCUGGCACACUUCCCAGCUGCCCUCAGAAAGGAACCAGUUGAGGAGAAGCUACAGUGUCAGGGUCCUCAGGGCCUCAUGGAGGGACUCAACUUGACUAUCCUCUUUCAAAGACGACCGAAGAGGACCACAGAACAUCCUAACCCAGCUGCUUGGAUGGAAACCCCACACCAGCUGGGCUCUGAGGGACCAGUCAGCACAGGAAAGCCAAGGAUUAUGGCCUCCUCUGGCACACCAUCUUCAGUAACGCCACCAUCGUCCUUGGCUGACACUCCACCUGGACUUCUACUCUGACUAAAAAUUCCUGUGUGACAAAGUCAGAAUAUUUCAAGGUCUGAAGUGACGUGAAUUAUUCUAUUGGAAAGAGGCCAUUCUUUAAUAGCGUAUACAUCUUUAUUGCAUCAACAAAAUUUACACCUUCAUGGAGCUUUAGCAUGGUUUUUGAAUGUCUUGUGCUAUUCUGCUUUUUAAGAGCUGCAAUAACAAGUGGCUACAACACAAGGCUUUGCUGAUGAUUCCUCCUGUGCACAUUCUGCUGUUUAGUGGCAAAUGUGAUUGAGUUUCACUUCAGGAAAUUCUUUCCAUGCUGUUUUUUCAUUCAGGCAGGGGCACAGCUCUGCCUUGAAACUCUAUGACAGACCUGCUGCAGAGCCCCAGAGUGUGCAAAGAAAAGAGUCUUUAUCUGCCACUCACUCAAACUCAUUAUCAUGAAUGACACCUUGACAAAAACAAUUAGAGUCGAUAUUACUCAAACAAAGAAUCAACAACUUGGAGGAGCUCUGCUUGAUUGAUAACAUAUAUAGGCUUUCCUUGUGAAACCUCAGACUUUUCUUUGCACUUGCAACAAUUGAACUGCUGUGAUUGUAAAUCUGCACAUGCCAAAACCCCAUUAAAGCUGUAAUUUUCAAAUACUGUUUUAUUUUCCUGAAGCAACAUCACCAAUAAAAUACACCUUGACAUAAAUCA